GCCACGGCUUUUGGUCUUAUUCAGCUAGCAUCGAACAGAGACACAGCUCCGACUCGACGAAUCCGUCGACAUCGGGGCAUAAUUUCGGCACAUAAGCCCCAUCGAGGCUUAUUUUAAUUCUUUGAGGAGCUCAUCCUCCCAAACACACUAUGCGUGCUAAGUGGAGAAAGAAGAGGAUGCGCAGGCUGAAACGGAAGAGGAGGAAGAUGAGGGCAAGGUCCAAGUAGAAAGGAUAUCUUUCCACCACCUUGCUGAGGUCAUCAAGAAAUUGCGAAAAUUCUCUUGGCCGCGAUACAUAAUUCUACCAUCUGAUUAUGUACUUCACUUUUUUUUUUAAUUAAAAGUCGCAUUCAAACCAACAGAAA